rnacentral:rRNA from 1 species
GACAGAGGGUGCAAACGUUGUUCGGAAUUACUGGGCGUAAAGCGCGUGUAGGCGGCUCUGCAAGUCGGGUGUGAAAUCCCAUGGCUCAACCAUGGAAGUGCACUCGAAACUGCAGGGCUAGAGUCCUGGAGAGGAAGGUGGAAUGCUUGGUGUAGAGGUGAAAUUCGUAGAUAUCAAGCGGAACACCGGUGGCGAAGGCGGCCUUCUGGACAGUGACUGACGCUGAGACGCGAAAAGCGUGGGGAGCAAACAGG